ensembl:misc_RNA Metazoa_SRP Metazoan signal recognition particle RNA
GCCAGGUGUGGUGGGCCAUGCCUGCAGUCCCAGCUUCUCAGGAGGCUGAGGUGGGAGGAUCACUUGAGCCCAGGAGUUCUGGGUUGUAGUGCACUAUGCCGAUCGGGUGUCUGCACUAAGUUUGACAUCAAUAUGGUGACCUCCAGGGAGCAGGGGACCACCACAUUGUCUAAGAAGGGGUGAACUGGCCCAGGUAGGAAACGGAGCAGGUCAAAACUCCCAUCCUGAUCAGUAGUGGGAUCACACCUGUGAAUAGCCACUGCACUCGAGCCUGGGCAACACAGCUAGACCGCAUCUCUU